CCCUUAGACGUUCUGGGCCGCACGCGCGCUACACUGACCAGUGCAACAAGCAUCCGUCCUUGGCCGACAGGCCCGGGCAAUCUUUGAACGCUGGUCGUGAUGGGGAUAGACUUUUGCAAUUUUUGGUCUUCAACGAGGAAUUCCUAGUAAACGCAAGUCAUCAACUUGCAUUGAUUACGUCCCUGCCCUUUGUACACACCGCCCGUCGCACCUACCGAUUGAAUGGUCCGGUGAAGCCUCCGGAUUGGCGUGCACCCUCGGGUGCUGCCGAGAAGUUGGCUAAACCUUACCAUUUAGAGGAAGGUGAAGUCGUAACA
rnacentral:rRNA from 1 species